rnacentral:rRNA from 1 species
AGUGAACGCUGGCGGUAGGCCUAACACAUGCAAGUCGAACGGCAGCACAGUAAGAGCUUGCUCUUACGGGUGGCGAGUGGCGGACGGGUGAGGAAUGCAUCGGAAUCUACUCUGUCGUGGGGGAUAACGUAGGGAAACUUACGCUAAUACCGCAUACGACCUACGGGUGAAAGCAGGGGAUCUUCGGACCUUGCGCGAUUGAAUGAGCCGAUGCCCGAUUAGCUAGUUGGCGGGGUAAGAGCCCACCAAGGCGACGAUCGGUAGCUGGUCUGAGAGGAUGAUCAGCCACACUGGGACUGAGACACGGCCCAGACUCCUACGGGAGGCAGCAGUGGGGAAUUUUGGACAAUGGGGGCAACCCUGAUCCAGCCAUGCCGCGUGAGUGAAGAAGG